UAGGGAAUCUUCGGCAAUGGGCGAAAGCCUGACCGAGCAACGCCGCGUGAAUGAUGAAGGCCUUCGGGUUGUAAAAUUCUGUUAUAAGGGAAGAAUGGCUCUAGUAGGAAAUGGCUAGAGUGUGACGGUACCUUAUGAGAAAGCCACGGCUAACUACGUGCCAGCAGCUGCGGUAAUACGUAGGUGGCGAGCGUGAGCCGGAAUUAUUGGGCGUAAAGAGCGCGCAGGUGGUUGAUUAAGUCUGAUGUGAAAGCCCACGGCUUAACCGUGGAGGGUCAUUGGAAACUGGUAAACUUGAGUGCA
rnacentral:rRNA from 1 species